UUCCGCAUAGCUCAAUUGGUGGAGCGACCGGCUGUUAACUGGAAGGCUACAGGUUCAAGUCCUGUUGCGGGAG
rnacentral:tRNA from 2 species